rnacentral:tRNA from 1 species
GCGCCCGUAGCUCAAUUGGAUAGAGCACCUGACUACGGAUCAGGAGGUUAGGAGUUCGAAUCUUCUCGGGCGCACCA